GCUAUGUGGGGGGGGGUGGCCGGGGUAAGAGGAGGGGGGCGAGCGUGGUUGGGAAUUAAUGGGCGUAAAGCGCGUGUAGGCGGUUGCCAAAGUCGGGUGUGAAAGCCUUGAGCUUAACUCAAGAAAUGCACUCGAUACUUGGUGACUAGAGGACCGGAGAGGAUAGUGGAAUUCCCAGUGUAGUGGUGAAAUACGUAGAGAUUGGGAAGAACACCAGUGGCGAAGGCGGCUAUCUGGACGGUUUCUGACGCUAAGACGCGAAAGCGUGGGGAGCAAACAGGAUUAGAUACCCGAGUAGUC
rnacentral:rRNA from 1 species